GAUGAACGCUGGCGGCGUGCCUAAUACAUGCAAGUCGAGCGAACAGACGAGGAGCUUGCUCCUUCGACGUUAGCGGCGGACGGGUGAGUAACACGUAGGUAACCUACCUAUAAGACUGGGAUAACUUCGGGAAACCGGAGCUAAUACCGGAUAAUAUUUCGAACCGCAUGGUUCGAUAGUGAAAGAUGGCUUUGCUAUCACUUAUAGAUGGACCUGCGCCGUAUUAGCUAGUUGGUAAGGUAACGGCUUACCAAGGCAACGAUACGUAGCCGACCUGAGAGGGUGAUCGGCCACACUGGAACUGAGACACGGUCCAGACUCCUACGGGAGGCAGCAGUAGGGAGUCUUCCGCAAUGGGCGAAAGCCUGACGGAGCAACGCCGCGUGAGUGAUGAAGGUCUUCGGAUCGUAAAACUCUGUUAUUAGGGAAGAACAAACGUGUAAGUAACUGUGCACGUCUUGACGGUACCUAAUCAGAAAGCCACGGCUAACUACGUG
rnacentral:rRNA from 1 species